rnacentral:rRNA from 1 species
AUGCAGGUUGGCCUUCCUGCGGUACCAGUGCACCAUGAUGGUGUUGCCGCCCUCGUCCUCCUCGUAGCCGACGUGCAGCGGCUGGUGCACGUCGCCCACGAAGUGCGCCAGGAACAUCAGGCUCUCCGUCAGGUUGUCUGCGUUGCGAAUAGUGUAGAGCUGGUCCGUGUAGUUGUUGAUGGCCCCGACGACGCACAUCCCCUGCUCCCCGCGAGAGUUGUGGCAAUCCCCUGA